CCUGACUGCUAUCGGAUUGAUACUAAGCCAUGCGAGUCAUUGUAGUAAUACAAGGCAGACGGCUCAGUAACGCGUAGUCAACCUAACCUAUGGACGGGAAUAACCUCGGGAAACUGAGUAUAAUGCCCGAUAGAACAUUAUGCCUGGAAUGGUUUAUGUUCCAAAUGAUUUAUCGCCGUAGGAUGGACUGCGGCCUAUCAGUUUGUUGGUGAGGUAAUGGCCCACCAAGACUAUUACAGGUACGGGCUCUGAGAGGAGUGGCCCGGAGAUGGGUACUGAGACACGGACCCAGGCCCUAUGGGGCGCAGCAGGCGAGAAAACUUUGCAAUGUGCGAAAGCACGACAAGGUUAAUCCGAGUGGUUUCUGCUAAAGGAACCUUUUGUCGGUCCUAGAAACACCGAUGAAUAAGGGGUGGGCAAGUUCUGGUGUCAGCCGCCGCGGUAAAACCAGCACCUCAAGUGGUCAGGAUGAUUAUUGGGCCUAAAGCAUCCGUAGCCGGCUUUGUUAGUUUUCGGUUAAAUCUGUACGCUUAACGUACAGGCUGCCGGGAAUACUGCAGAGCUAGGGAGUGGGAGAGGUAGACGGUACUCGGUAGGAAGGGGUAAAAUCCUUUGAUCUAUUGAUGACCACCUGUGGCGAAGGCGGUCUACCAGAACACGUCCGACGGUGAGGGAUGAAAGCUGGGGGAGCAAACCGGAUUAGAUACCCGGGUAGUCCCAGCUGUAAACUAUGCAAACUCAGUGAUGCAUUGGCUUGUGGCCAAUGCAGUGCUGCAGGGAAGCCGUUAAGUUUGCCGCCUGGGAAGUACGUACGCAAGUAUGAAACUUAAAGGAAUUGGCGGGGGAGCACCACAAGGGGUGAAGCCUGCGGUUC
rnacentral:rRNA from 1 species